rnacentral:rRNA from 1 species
CUACGGGGGGCACCAGUGGGGAAUAUUGCACAAUGGGGGAAACCCUGAUGCAGCAACGCCGCGUGGAGGAUGACGCAUUUCGGUGUGUAAACUCCUUUUAUAUCCCAAGAUAAUGACGGUAGGAUAUGAAUAAGCACCGGCUAACUCCGUGCCAGCAGCCGCGGUAAUACGGAGGGUGCAAGCGUUACUCGGAAUCACUGGGCGUAAAGGGCGCGUAGGCGGGUUGUCAAGUCUUGAGUGAAAUCCAACGGCUCAACCGUUGAACUGCUUGAGAAACUGGCAGCCUAGAGUAAGGGAGAGGUAGAUGGAAUUGGUGGUGUAGGGGUAAAAUCCGUAGAGAUCACCAGGAAUACCCAUUGCGAAGGCGAUCUGCUGGAACUUUACUGACGCUGAGGCGCGAAAGCGUGGGGAGCAAACAGGAUUAGAUACCCCGGUAGUC